CCCUUAGAUGUUCUGGGCGGCCCGCGCACUACAAUGGCGUGUGCAGCGAAUGCCGAAGUAGAGUUUUCCGAGGUAUUCUUGCAAUGCUCGUUUUGAUGGGGAUAGACCCUUGCAACUGUUGGUUUUGAACGAGGAAUUCCUUGUAAGCAUGGUUUAUCAUCCGACGCUGAAUGCGUCCCUGCCCUUUGUACACACCGCCCGUCGCUCCUACCGAUGAGUCGUCCGGUGAAGUUCGUAGACCUCGUGAUCGCGGAUCACUGGGGGAAGCAAAAUGAACCUCGCGGUUUAGAGGAAGGAGAAGUCGUAACA
rnacentral:rRNA from 1 species